CCUGGCUUAGUGGUUAGAGCACUUGACUCAUGAUCAUAAAGUUGUGAGUUCAAUUCCCAGCGG
rnacentral:tRNA from 1 species